rnacentral:rRNA from 1 species
AACGAACGCUGGCGGCAUGCCUAACACAUGCAAGUCGAACGAGACCUUCGGGUCUAGUGGCGCACGGGUGCGUAACGCGUGGGAACCUGCCCUUAGGUUCGGAAUAACUCCCCGAAAGGGGUGCUAAUACCGGAUAAUGUCUUCGGACCAAAGAUUUAUCGCCUUUGGAUGGGCCCGCGUUGGAUUAGCUAGUUGGUAGGGUAAAAGCCUACCAAGGCGACGAUCCAUAGCUGGUCUGAGAGGAUGAUCAGCCACACUGGGACUGAGACACGGCCCAGACUCCUACGGGAGGGAGGAGUGGGGGAUAUUGGAAAAUGGGCGGAAGGCUGAACCAGCCAUGCCGCGUGAGUGAUGAAGGCCUUAGGGUUGUAAAGCUCUUUUACCCGGGAUGAUAAUGACUGUACCGGGAGAAUAAGCUCCGGCUAACUCCGUG